GGUGCUAGUGCUCCUAUCACAACGAUCACCACGACCAGCACCACCAGCUCCACCGCCGCAGUGCUACUUGCCGACCUGAGUUUAAUUCGCAUAAAAGGCGACGAAUUGUCGCGGUCUGCUUCAUCUCCUUUGAUGAGCAGCCGAUCGAAGGAAAUACCCGGCCUGGACAGCCAACGGUCUAGCCACUGUCCGGUGGUACGGGAGGGUCCCGCGCUGGGUUGCAAUUUCUGCUGGAACACAAGGAGGAUACUGCGACGGAAAACCAAGUACCACUGUCCCGAGUGCCAGACGAACUUGUGCAUUGCGCCCUGCUUCCAGGAGUAUCACGAACGCCAAUCGGCGGAGAACCCUGCCCCCACCAGCAACGACAGCGGAAGCGGCUGUGUGUAUGGUGUAGGUGGAUUGUACGCAAAAGUGGAUCUCCGAUUUGUUGAGAAUCUUUACUUUUGCGGAAUUGUGUCAUUCUCUUUUUUUUUAUGGGUAAGAAUAGAACACUCAUUCAGACUAUUGCUAGGAAGAAACAUGUUUUGUAACGCUGCCUCCGGCUUGGAUCGCUCCCCCGAUCACGCUCGUCUACUCAGAUUUACCUGGACCGUUUUACUGUAUUCGGAUUUUCUUUGAAAUAAUCAACCAAGAGGCGGAAAAAGUAUACAAUUAUUAACGAAGAUGUUUUACAAAUCAAAUUCGGUAGAAAAACACACAAAUCUGAUAGAAGGCGACGAUGAUCGUAAUCCCUUUUGUCGGCGGAGUGACCGCUUGGAGGUUCAGGUCAUAUUUGUGAAAGUUUUCCCGUACAAUAUAAAAUAUUUGGACCGGCACCGGAAGUCGAACCCAGCCACCCUCAGCAUGGUCUUGCUUUGUAGCCGCGAGUCUUACCGCACGGCUAAGGAGGGCCCUUAAUUAUUACGAAUACAUAUCUUAGGAUCACUUAAAAA